rnacentral:misc_RNA from 1 species
AGCAGCCGCGGUAAUUCCAGCUCCAAUAGCGUAUAUUAAAGUUGUUGCAGUUAAAAAGCUCGUAGUUGAAUUUCGGGAUCAAUACGUCGGUCGUGCUUAGGUACGUACUGGCGUAAUUGAUUUCUCCCUUCUGACGAACCAUGAUGUCAUUAACUUGGUGUCAUGGGAAAUCAGGACUGUUACUUUGAAAAAAUUAGAGUGUUUAAAGCAGGCUCACGCUUGAAUACAUUAGCAUGGAAUAAUGAAAUAGGACGUUCGAUCCUAUUUUGUUGGUUUUUAGGAUCAACGUAAUGAUUAAUAGGGAUAGUUGGGGGCAUUAGUAUUCAAUUGUCAGAGGUGAAAUUCUUGGAUUUAUUGAAGACUAACUACUGCGAAAGCAUUUGCCAAGGAUGUUUUCAUUAAUCAAGAACGAAAGUUAGGGGAUCGAAGACGAUCAGAUACCGUCGUAGUCUUAACCAUAAACUAUGCCGACUAGGGAUCGGAUGAUGUUAAUUUUUUAAUGUACUCAAUUCGGCGUCCU